GACGAACGCUGGCGGCGUGCUUAACACAUGCAAGUCGAACGGACUACUUUGCUUCGGUAAGGUGGUUAGUGGCGAACGGGUGAGUAACGCGUAGACAACCUACCUCUUAGAUGGGGACAACAUCGCGAAAGCGGUGCUAAUACCGAAUGAAGUGGCUUUCCUGCAUGGGAGAGAUACUAAAGGUGGCCUCUAUUUAUAAGCUACCACUGAGGAAUGGGUCGGGGUCUGAUUAGCUAGUUGGCGGGGUAACGGCCCACCAAGGCGACGAUCAGUAGCCGGUCUGAGAGGAUGAACGGCCACAUUGGGACUGAGACACGGCCCAAACUCCUACGGGAGGCAGCAGUGGGGAAUCUUCCGCAAUGGACGAAAGUCUGACGGAGCAACGCCGCGUGAGUGAAGAAGGUUUUCGGAUCGUAAAGCUCUGUUGUUUGAGACGAAUGUGCCUGUUUUGAAUAGGGAUAGGUAAUGACGGUAUUAAACGAGAAAGCCACGGCUAACUACGUGCCAGCCGCCGCUGUAA
rnacentral:rRNA from 1 species